rnacentral:rRNA from 1 species
UACGUAGGGUGCGAGCGUUAAUCGGAAUUACUGGGCGUAAAGGGCUCGUAGGCGGCCAACUAAGUCAGACGUGAAAUCCCUCGGCUUAACCGGGGAACUGCGUCUGAUACUGGAUGGCUUGAGAUUGGGAGAGGGAUGCGGAAUUCCAGGUGUAGCGGUGAAAUGCGUAGAUAUGUGGAGGAACACCAGUGGCGAAGGCGGCUCUCUGGUCUGCAACUGACGCUGAGGCGCGAAAGCGUGGAUAGCAAACAGG